UGUCUACUUAGAUUUAUGCAGCAUUCUUU
rnacentral:piRNA from 1 species